rnacentral:rRNA from 1 species
GAUGAACGCUGGCGGCGUGCCUAAUACAUGCAAGUCGAGCGAACGGACGAGAAGCUUGCUUCUCUGAUGUUAGCGGCGGACGGGUGAGUAACACGUGGAUAACCUACCUAUAAGACUGGGAUAACUUCGGGAAACCGGAGCUAAUACCGGAUAAUAUUUUGAACCGCAUGGUUCAAAAGUGAAAGACGGUCUUGCUGUCACUAAUAGAUGGAUCCGCGCUGCAUUAGCUAGUUGGUAAGGUAACGGCUUAUCAAGGCAACGAUGCAUAGCCGACCUGAGAGGGUGAUCGGCCACACUGGAACUGAGACACGGUCCAGACUCCUACGGGAGGCAGCAGUAGGGAAUCUGCCGCAAUGGGCGAAAGCCUGACGGAGCAACGCCGCGUGAGUGACGAAGGUCUUCGGAUCGUAAAACUCUGUUAUUAGGGAAGAACAUAUGUGUAAGUAACUGUGCACAUCUUGACGGUACCUAAUCAGAAAGCCACGGCUAACUACGUG